rnacentral:rRNA from 1 species
CCUCGUGGCCCAACCUCCCACCCUUGUCUCUAUACACCUGUUGCUUUGGCGGGCCCACCGGGGCCACCUGGUCGCCGGGGGACGUUCGUUCCCCGGGCCCGCGCCCGCCGAAGCGCUCUGUGAACCCUGAUGAAGAUGGGCUGUCUGAGUACUAUGAAAAUUGUCAAAACUUUCAACAAUGGAUCUCUUGGUUCCGGCAUCGAUGAAGAACGCAGCGAAAUGCGAUAAGUAAUGUGAAUUGCAGAAUUCCGUGAAUCAUCGAAUCUUUGAACGCACAUUGCGCCCCCUGGCAUUCCGGGGGGCAUGCCUGUCCGAGCGUCAUUUCUGCCCUCAAGCACGGCUUGUGUGUUGGGUGUGGUCCCCCCGGGGACCUGCCCGAAAGGCAGCGGCGACGUCCUCUGGUCCUCGAGCGUAUGGGGCUUUGUCACUCGCUCGGGAAGGACUGGCGGGGGUUGGUCACCACCACCAAAAUUUUACCACGGUUGACCUCGGAUCAGGU